GUUUUUGUUAGUUUUGAUUCCAAAAUACCGGGUUGUCUCAUAAAUUAGAUAGACAGUAGAUAGCUUCGACGUUUACGUAGAAGACGCAAGGUGGUCAUUGUUCGAUCCAAAAUAUCCAUUCAUGAGCCCUGAAUAUUCCUUGCCAUGUGACCAGCAUUCAAAAAGGGCUACAAGACAGAAAAAAACAUUUCCAAAUCUGGAUAUUUGUCCCUCUAACUCCCAGCAAUGGUUUCAAAAACUUUAUGGUGAAAUAUGAUGUUAUUCACACACUUAGAAUUUCAGUCAGAUUUGGAAUGGAGGAGGCAGAUGGUGGUGUCUUGUUGACUGGAAGUGCACCUGCAGAUGCGCAGUAGUUCUGGUGAGCUACAUGGGGCUCUUGAACCUGGAUACCUUCACAAAGUGCAACCAAUAGUGUGUGCUUUUCAAAAACCAUUCAGACAUUGGUGCAAAGUGGGGUGGAAGGGGGCCAUCAGGAAUACUAAAUCCAAAGGGAGCCUGGUUGCUGAAGCUCUGGUGGGACUUCUAAAGACAAGAAUUUGUGCUGGUCAACACCUGGUCCUGUCAUGAAUUGCAAACCGGCUGCCUGGGCAAGAGUUUCCGAGAAAAGAAUACUGUCUCUAAUUCUGGUGUGCCAAAAAGCUGCGGCAUCGGCAAGUGGUCAUGCAAACUAAAACUGGGAGAUGCAGCUCUGAAUCACAUAUUUCAGGAGAAUGAAGAUGUUAGUCACCCCCAUGAAACUACUGUUGAGAUGUCAUCAACGGGAAACUCGAUGUUUCACCAGAAAGGACACGGGUUUUUUUUCAAACUGCCAUCAAGAGCUUCAAAAGGAUAACAUCUGUAUAAGGUGCACAUGGGGUGGAAUUUCUGUGUGAGUGCAAACAUAUUGCUGCGUCUUCACUGGUAUCAUGGAUUCUCUCAACUACCCACAGAUCCUGAAAGACAACCUCAUACCAUUCACAGGCAAACAUUAUCCUAAAGGAUUUAGGCAUCCAGAUUUUGAUGCCAAACAUACAAGUAGAAGUACCAUGCAAUGGAUGAAAGACAACGAUGUCCAACUUUUGUCAUGUCCAGAAUAAAAUCCCGACAUUUGGUUCUCCAUGAAGGACUUCUUGAAACGAAAGCAUGAGGAUGAAUUGUUGGCAGGCAUUGUCAUGUUUUGCAAGUCAAUGACUGUCACGGAGUGCAGAAUCUACAUCAGCCAUAUUCACAAAGUGAUGCCUGCAGUUGUAUUAGAGAAUGGUCAUCCUACAGUGUAUUAUUAAAUUUAUUCCUGUAUCUACCAUCAGUGCAAAUCAAAUAAGUGGACAUUCUUGACAACUUCUAAACAGAGGAUAUUUCUAAUUAAUUAUAAGUGGAGAUAUAUAUACUUGGUAUCAAAUAGGAUUAUAAUGUACAUGUUUUUAUGAACACAACAAUCACGAUUAUUAAAAGAAUCAAAGUACUGAAAGAAACUGAAGUACGUCUGUAAAGCCUACCUUUGUGUCAUUAAAUAUGGUCUUUAUUAAAUGUUGACUAAU